AUCUGGGCGGCGAAAUUCAGAAUGACUGGCCGGCCUCGCGCAUGUCCGGUCGUUUGAUAUUUUCGUCCCCGCGUCAGACGUCGCGAUCUGUUUGUUGUCGGUCCCUGCUCGGAGGAGUCGCAAUCGAGUUUGUUGCGGGCGCGUUUCGGCGUGUUACACGGCAAAGAUGCGGAUCUCUGGCUGACAACGGACAGUAAGCAAUGGUGGCCGACACUGUGUCUCGUGCACGGUGUCGGUACCGAUCAGCGACGAUUUCUUCGGGCCUCUUUCCGACCCGUCUUGAAACACGGACCAAGGAGUCUAACAUGCGCGCGAGUCGCGGGGUAUCGAGCGUACUACGGUGCGUUCGGCUCAUUAUGAAACCCGUAUGUUGAAGGCGUAAUGAAAGUAAAUGGGGAAGAUGGUGUUCCGAGUAUACGUACCGUGAGAUUUCGCGGCCGGACACCCGCAUUCCCGGGGCGUCUCAAGGUUCGUCGCGAAUGCGGAUCAUCGUCUCUCGGGAUGGUGGUCGGUUUGCGACGGUCCGA
rnacentral:rRNA from 1 species